UACGUAGGGGGCUAGCGUUGUCCGGAAUCAUUGGGCGUAAAGGGCGCGUAGGCGGCGUGACAAGUCACUUGUGAAAUCUCCGGGCUUAACUCGGAGCGGCCAAGUGAUACUGUCGUGCUAGAGUGCGGAAGGGGCUACUGGAAUUCUCGGUGUAGCGGUGAAAUGCGUAGAUAUCGAGAGGAACACCUGCGGCGAAGGCGGGUAGCUGGGCCGACACUGACGCUGAGGCGCGAAAGCCAGGGGAGCGAACGGG
rnacentral:rRNA from 1 species